rnacentral:rRNA from 1 species
AGAGUUUGAUCCUGGCUCAGAUUGAACGCUGGCGGCAUGCCUUACACAUGCAAGUCGAACGGCAGCAUGAUCUAGCUUGCUAGAUUGAUGGCGAGUGGCGAACGGGUGAGUAAUACAUCGGAACGUGCCCUGUAGUGGGGGAUAACUAGUCGAAAGAUUAGCUAACACCGCAUACGACCUGAGGGUGAAAGUGGGGGACCGCAAGGCCUCAUGCUAUAGGAGCGGCCGAUGUCUGAUUAGCUAGUUGGUGGGGUAAAGGCCCACCAAGGCGACGAUCAGUAGCUGGUCUGAGAGGACGAUCAGCCACACUGGGACUGAGACACGGCCCAGACUCCUACGGGAGGCAGCAGUGGGGAAUUUUGGACAAUGGGCGAAAGCCUGAUCCAGCAAUGCCGCGUGUGUGAAGAAGGCCUUCGGGUUGUAAAGCACUUUUGUCCGGAAAGAAAUGGCUCUGGUUAAUACCUGGGGUCGAUGACGGUACCGGAAGAAUAAGGACCGGCUAACUACGUGCCAGCAGCCGCGGUAAUAC